rnacentral:lncRNA from 1 species
CCUUUCCUCAGGAUUAACAAGGAAUGCGAAGAAGCAAAGGAAUUUUCCUGCUUAUAAUUUGACCUGAAGCACUGGGUGCAAGCACACUAGACCAGGAAGAGCAGUCGUCACAUAUCUUAUCCCUUGGCUACCAUCGCAAGGCAACCAUCAUUCCUCUGAAGUUCAUUUUGUGCUGACCAUGGAAAUGUGCCAUCUGGGAAUGCAAAUCGUCCACACAAUGCAUUAGGCAACCAUAAACAAAUGAAGAUUUGCACAGAUGUAAUUAAG